rnacentral:rRNA from 1 species
AUUGAACGCUGGCGGAAUGCUUUACACAUGCAAGUCGAACGGUAGAGGGGGCAACCCCUCGAGAGUGGCGAACGGGUGAGUAAUAUAUCGGAACGUGCCCAGUCGUGGGGGAUAACGUAGCGAAAGUUACGCUAAUACCGCAUACGAUCUAAGGAUGAAAGCGGGGGAUCGCAAGACCUCGCGCGAUUGGAGCGGCCGAUAUCAGAUUAGGUAGUUGGUGGGGUAAAGGCUCACCAAGCCAACGAUCUGUAGCUGGUCUGAGAGGACGACCAGCCAACCUGGAACGGAGACACGGUCAAGACUCCUACGGGAGGCAGCAGUGGGGAAUUUUGGACAAUGGACGAAAGUCUGAUCCAGCCAUUCCGCGUGCAGGAUGAAGGCCCUCGGGUUGUAAACUGCUUUUGUACGGAACGAAAAGGUCUCUCUUAAUACGGGGGGCUCAUGACGGUACCGUAAGAAUAAGCACCGGCUAACUACGUGCCAGCAGCCGCGGUAA